rnacentral:misc_RNA from 1 species
UCCAACAAUUAGCAUCGGCAAUCUCUCUAAUGAAAUUAGAAACAAGGGUUGCGCCCGUUAGCGGAAUUAACCCUACAUCUCACGACACGUGCUUACGACAGCCAUGCAACACCUGUAUAAGAAUUUUUCACUCUCUCAGAUACAUUCAUAUCGAAAUCAGUCCUCACAAAUACUUAUAUUCAAGAACUGGUAAGGUUUUUCGGUUAUUAUCGAAUUGAACCACAUACUCCACCGCUGGUAUAGAUUUCCGUCAAUUCCUUUGAGUUUCAACCUUGCAGCCGUAGUACCCAGGCGGAGUGUUUAACGCGUUAGCUGACAAACAUCAAACAUACGUUAUCAGUAAGUAACACUCAUCGUUGACUGCAUAGACUAC